rnacentral:rRNA from 1 species
CUUGGUCAUUUAGAGGAAGUAAAAGUCGUAACAAGGUUUCCGUAGGUGAACCUGCGGAAGGAUCAUUGGUGAAUUUUAGGGUGCUCUGAGGCUUUAACAUGCACCAGAGGCCCGACAUCCACUUUUCCACACUGUGCACCCUUUGGCGAAAUGGAAUCACGAACACUCUUUUGCUGGGUUUCGUAGGGACGUUUUGCGGCUUCUUUACAAAAACACAAGUAUUAAGGAUGUAAACAAAAUUGUAAUAAAAAGAAAAACUUUCAACAACGGAUCUCUUGGCUCUCGCAUCGAUGAAGAACGCAGCGAAAUGUGAUAAGUAAUGUGAAUUGCAGAAUUCAGUGAAUCAUCGAAUCUUUGAACGCACCUUGCGCUCUCUGGUAUUCCGGAGAGCAUGUCUGUUUGAGUGUCAUGAACUCUUCAACACACCGGUUCCUAGCUGAACCGGCGCGUGUUUGGAUUCUGAGUGUUGCUAUUCAGUUAGCUCACUCGUAAUAUAUUAGCAUCUCAAUUUCUUAAUCGGAUUGACUCGGCGUAAUAGACUAUUCGCUGAGGACACCAGACCGCGUUGUUUGGUGGCCGAGAAAUGGAAAAGGGACGCUUCGAACCCUUGCAAGUCAUUCUAAGAUUAGACCUCAGAUCAGGCAGGACUACCCGCUGAACUUAAGCAUAUCAAUAAGCGGAGGA